rnacentral:rRNA from 1 species
UACGUAGGGCGCAAGCGUUAAUCGGAAUUACUGGGCGUAAAGCGUGCGCAGGCGGUUUGUUAAGUCUGUUGUGAAAUCCCCGAGCUCAACUUGGGAAUUGCAAUGGAUACUGGCAGGCUGGAGUAUGGUAGAGGAAGGUGGAAUUCCCGGUGUAGCAGUGAAAUGCGUAGAGAUCGGGAGGAACACCAGUGGCGAAGGCGGCCUUCUGGACCAAUACUGACGCUCAUGCACGAAAGCGUGGGGAGCAAACAGG